GACGAACGCUGGCGGCGUGCCUAACACAUGCAAGUCGAACGAACCGCGACUGAGUGCUUGCACUUGGUCAAGGUGAGUGGCGAACGGGUGAGUAACACGUGGGUAACCUACCUCAUAGUGGGGGAUAACAGUCGGAAACGACUGCUAAUACCGCAUAGGACAUAGGAUCACAUGAUCCAGUGAGGAAAGGUGGCGCAAGCUGUCGCUAAGAGAUGGACCCGCGGUGCAUUAGCUAGUUGGUAGGGUAAAGGCCUACCAAGGCGAUGAUGCAUAGCCGACCUGAGAGGGUGAUCGGCCACAUUGGGACUGAGACACGGCCCAAACUCCUACGGGAGGCAGCAGUAGGGAAUCUUCCGCAAUGGACGCAAGUCUGACGGAGCAACGCCGCGUGAGUGAAGAAGGUCUUCGGAUCGUAAAGCUCUGUUGUUAGAGAAGAACAGCGCAUAGAGUAACUGCUAUGCGUGUGACGGUAUCUAACCAGAAAGCCACGGCUAACUACGUG
rnacentral:rRNA from 1 species